GCGUGGGUAACCUGCCUCAUACAGGGGGAUAACAGUUAGAAAUGACCGCUAAUACCGCAUAAGACCACAGAGCCGCAUGGCUCAGUGGGAAAAACUCCGGUGGUAUGAGAUGGACCCGCGUCUGAUUAGGUAGUUGGUGGGGUAACGGCCUACCAAGCCAACGAUCAGUAGCCGACCUGAGAGGGUGACCGGCCACAUUGGGACUGAGACACGGCCCAAACUCCUACGGGAGGCAGCAGUGGGGAAUAUUGCACAAUGGGGGAAACCCUGAUGCAGCGACGCCGCGUGAGCGAAGAAGUAUUUCGGUAUGUAAAGCUCUAUCAGCAGGGAAGAAAAUGACGGUACCUGACUAAGAAGCACCGGCUAAAUACGUGCCAGCAGCCGCGGUAAUACGUAUGGUGCAAGCGUUAUCCGGAUUUACUGGGUGUAAAGGGAGCGUAGACGGCUGUGUAAGUCUGAAGUGAAAGCCCGGGGCUCAACCCCGGGACUGCUUUGGAAACUAUGCAGCUAGAGUGUCGGAGAGGUAAGUGGAAUUCCCAGUGUAGCGGUGAAAUGCGUAGAUAUUGGGAGGAACACCAGUGGCGAAGGCGGCUUACUGGACGAUGACUGACGUUGAGGCUCGAAAGCGUGGGGAGCAAACAGGAUUAGAUACCCUGGUAGUCCACGCUGUAAACGAUGACUACUAGGUGUCGGGG
rnacentral:rRNA from 1 species